rnacentral:rRNA from 1 species
CAGUAGCCACGGUAAUACAGAGGGUGCAAGCGUUAAUCGGAAUUACUGGGCGUAAAGCGCGCGUAGGUGGUUUGUUAAGUUGGAUGUGAAAUCCCCGGGCUCAACCUGGGAACUGCAUCCAAAACUGGCAAGCUAGAGUAUGGUAGAGGGUGGUGGAAUUUCCUGUGUAGCGGUGAAAUGCGUAGAUAUAGGAAGGAACACCAGUGGCGAAGGCGACCACCUGGACUGAUACUGACACUGAGGUGCGAAAGCGUGGGGAGCAAACAGGAUUAGAUACCCCUGUAGUCCCUGUCUCUUAUAA